GCUACUUGGGCCCCUAGCUUGUGUCUGUCAAAAUGUUUUGCCACUGGUGGGUUGCGAUGCAGUUGGUGAGGAAAUAGCCUGAAGCAGCAUGAGAGUGUUGGAGCUGAUUCGGGGAAGAGGACUUCCAUAGCACCCCGUGGCUCAGGAGAAAACUUAGCUGGUUCUCAUCAGAGUACAUCAAAUACAGCACGCCUUCUGGUCAUUUGACUUGACCUGUAAAUCCACUGCAAGCAAUGAGAUAGGAAGAUAACUGCC